rnacentral:rRNA from 1 species
AUGGAUAAUGAAACAACAGAUGUGCCCUGGGCUGAACUCAUUUGGGAUACAUACUAUGGUUCUUCGGCACCCCAAGCCACUAAGGCCUGUGGCUCUUUCUGGUGGCGCGAUGUGUUAAAAUUAUAUGACAAAUUUUGUCAGCUUUUUGUCCCAAAGGUUCAUUCUGGUGAACCUGUGCUUUUCUGGCUUGAUCAUUGGCAACUCCAGGGAAGAAAUACUCCCAUGAAAGAUCGUUGCCCCCGACUGCACUCUUUCGUGUUGGAUGACAUGCUUACUGUCAAACCCUCGAUGAUCUACCAUCCAUGGCACAUUACUGUGGAUCCAAUUGUUAAGUGUAUAUGGAAGUGUUCCUGCACGCUCAAGAUCAAAGUCUUUGGUUGGCUACUCCUGGUGGAUAGGCUUAACACAAGAGAUAUGAUGCAAAGCCGACAUUGGACUAUGCAAGAUGAUACUUGUGGUGUUUGCCAGACUCUCACACAUGAGGAUCGAGCACAUAUGUUCUUUUUUUUAACUUCAGCCAGUUGGAAUUAUCUUGGGAUUACUUGGGCAUCAUAA